rnacentral:rRNA from 1 species
AUGUCUGUUGCUAAAGUUGGAAGCUACCCUAAAUUAGUUCAGUCCGCAUCAUUAGUUUUUCGCCUCUGCAACGACUCUGCAACCCACUCUGCCGAGCUGGAGCGAGGGGAUGCACCAUCAUCAAUAGCUAUUCACAUGUCGGAGAACAGCUCCAGUGAGCAAGAGUCCCGCGAAGCCAUGGAAGACCUUACUAUGGAAGCGUGGAAGUCGAUUAACGAAGAUGCAUUCAAACACUGCCAAUUUUCUAGAUCUUUUGCCAAGACUUGCGUGAAUUUGGCUCGAAUCUCACAUUGUGUUUACCAAGGUGGGGAUGGUUUUGGUGCGCCGGAUGGUCGGAAGAAAAAGCAAAUUAGGGAGUUGUUCUUGGACUCUUUCAUGAUUGAGGAACAUUAA